GAGAUUUGGUUCCGUAGACUCCUCGGAUCAAAGUAGGUGGUAUGUAAUUCUAAAUCUCCAAGGGUUUCGCAGCAUCACCAAAAAUUAAACAACUGCGCUGAGCAAGUUUUAAAGGAGCUAGUAACGGUGACGUACAGGAAUUUCCACCAGUAAUGGACUGUAAAUUCACGAAAGUGUAAUUGAGCCGCACUCCAAUAUAUUUUAUAACAGGCGUCACGCACCCGAUGCUCACAUUGUCAGCUGGAUUGGAGUUAACAAACAAAAUAACCCUGUUGAUAGUUUCACAAUUAAAAGGUUUUCUAUUCAUUCUGAAAUGAACAACAAUCAUCGAAUGUUGGAAGUACCAAAAAAACCUUUUCAGGCGGAACAGCAAUACCAAAUCAGAAGUUUGGUUUGAAUGGAAUCGAACCAAGCUGGGGGGAGUCGAUACGAUGUUUGGAAAGUUAUCUGAAAAGGCCGAUACAAAACAUUCGAUCGUUUAACUCUGGCGGUAGAUCUCUAAAUAUGGCUGCGUUUGUUUCGCUGUAUUUCAUUAACAGAAGUUCAAAAGAAACAGGACUGAGCUGGAUCCAGAUGAUGAUAUUUAAUCUCCCAAGCUAAAGGAACUAGCUUUUCAAUGCAGCAGCCAAAAUGAGGAAAUUGUCGCUUAGGUGGGCUUUACUUAAAAGCCAAUUUUGUUUGAAUGGCAGUAACUAUUUUUGUGUAUACAUUUAGGCAUUAUGCGAAAGAUAAUUUAAAUUGUAAAUUGAAGAUUUAGGUAGUAAGGGUAUGAAAAUAAGAUUAUUAGCAAAUUAGUAUCAUUUAAAUCAUUCAAAUAACGAUAGUUCUAGAUACGUCGUUAUAAUGUACAAACAAAGCAGAGUAAUAUUUUGAAAAAGGGAAGGAAAAAACAAAACAAAUUUUGUGGGAGCUGAAAACUGUUGAAUUUAAAACGCCGUUGUCUAAAAACAGUGAAUUCGGCUGUUGUAGAAUCGUUACUGAAAUGUCGGUAUUUUACCAAAAUUGCUACUUAAUCUCAUUUAACGUAACACGAUUGUGCUUUUUUUUUAUAUAAAUUCAGGCGUUUAGCUCCACGGACUAGUCAUGGGUCGGCCGUGGUUCAGUUUUUAUAUCGUUAUAGUCGCCUUAGAUUACGGUUAUUUUAAGCCCGAAGAAUAAACCUCUACACACUGCUGAUGCGGCAUCUGAUUCAAAAAGUCGUGUAAGAAUGAAAUCUUAAAUAUUUUAUCUUAAACCUUACACAUCAUGCAGAUCAUUCAAUAUGGAUUUUAGUUUACCAUUAAACAUUUUUCUCAAACUGCAUUUCAGAUGGGUUGGUUUUACCUAAGCUUGGUUAAAUGCAAGAUUACUUUGAAACUAGGCAUCAACAAAUGUUAAAUCUGAAUCACUGAAUAUUGUUUUUU